rfam:Cathartes aura contig84409, whole genome shotgun sequence.
AGGCUUACCUGGCAGAGGAGACACCAUGAUGACGCAGGUGGUUUCCGCAGGGUGAGGCUCAUCCCCUGCACUCUGGGUGUGCUGACCCCUGUGAUUUCCCCAAAUGUGGGAAACUUGACUGCAUAAUUUGUGGUAGUGGUGGACUGCGUUCACGCUUUGGCCAU